AUAUGAUGCAAAAUCAAACAUGAACUACAGAAGUCGUUGAAUAAAGUAUUUGAGUGGUUGAAUUCUCAUCUUGUUGACGACGUUUCUACUUUUAGGAAGUAUUUCCUUAUUUGCUUCUCUCUCAGAUAGUACUUCCAAAGGUUGAACAUGCAGCAAACUGACGAAGAGGUUGAACACUGUUAUGAAGAGUUUUAUGAUGAUGUACAUACAGAAUUCUUGAAGUUUGGGGAAACUGUGAACUUCAAGGGCGCUUCCUAUAGUUUUUAAUAUGUUGUGUUAGCAACUCAGUUGAAUAAGAAAGUGUUUAAUGGUGAUGCUCGUAAAGGAUCUGUGGUUCAAAUGAUCGAUUACAAUGUAAUACUAUUCAGACUCAGAAUUUGUUGGAGUGAAAGUUGCAUAUGUACUCUCUUAGGGAUUGAAGGAGAUUGCUUGUAUCUGUGAGACUAUUGAACAACAAAAGAUUGAUUUUGUUACUAGGUUGCUGGCUUCAGUGAGGAUAAUUAUGAUGAGGAGCAUGAGGGAGAUGAUAUUGAUGCAAAACAUACAAUGGUUUUAACAGAUGAAAUUCUUUCUUUAGCGGGCAGAUAUCCAAGCAUUUUGGAAUCGAGGAAGACAAGAAGGGAAGAGAACAUUUCUGUUGUAGGAUAUAGCGGCUUAUUUCGAGGAUUUCGUUUUACAUAUCUAGUUUUUUGACUCGUUUGUUGUGAAUAACAAGC